rnacentral:rRNA from 1 species
GAUGAACGCUGGCGGCGUGCCUAAUACAUGCAAGUCGAGCGAACGGACGAGAAGCUUGCUUCUCUGAUGUUAGCGGCGGACGGGUGAGUAACACGUGUAUAACCUACCUAUAAGACUGGGAUAACUUCGGGAAACCGGAGCUAAUACCGUAUAAUAUUUUGAACCGCAUGGUUCAAAAGUGAAAGACGGUCUUGCUGUCACUUAUAGCUGGAUCCGCGCUGCAUUAGCUAGUUGGUAAGGUAACGGCUUACCAAGGCAACGAUGCAUAGCCGACCUGAGAGGGGGAUCGGCCACACUGGAAGUGAGACACGGUCCAGACUCCUACGGGAGGCAGCAGUAGGGAAGCUUCCGCAAUGGGCGAAAGACUGACGGAGCAACGCCGCGUGAGUGAUGAAGGUCUGCGGAUCGUAAAACUCUGUUAUUAGGGAAGAACAUAUGUGUAAGUAACUGUGCACAUCUUGACGGUACCUAAUCAGAAAGACACGGCUAACUACGUG